rnacentral:rRNA from 1 species
GCGGAGGAAAAGAAACUAACCAAGGAUUCCCCUAGUAACUGCGAGUGAAGCGGGAAAAGCUCAA